UUUAAGGACCUAAAAAUGCAU
rnacentral:miRNA from 1 species